rnacentral:rRNA from 1 species
CAGUAUUUACCGCAUGGUAGAAAUUUUGAAAGGAGCAAUUGCUUUCACUAUGAGACGGACCUGCGUUGUAUUAGCUAGUUUGGUGAGGUAACGGCUUCACCAAGGCUUCGAUACAUAGCCGACCUGAGAGGGUGAUCGGCCACACUGGGACUGAGACACGGCCCAGACUCCUACGGGAGGCAGCAGUAGGGAAUCUUCGGCAAUGGGGGCAACCCUGACCGAGCAACGCCGCGUGAGUGAAGAAGGUUUUCGGAUCGUAAAGCUCUGUUGUAAGAGAAGAACUGUGAGAAGAGUGGAAAGUUUCUCACUUGACGGUAUCUUAC